GAUAGUAUAAAUGGUUAUGUGUGUUAAUUUAAUAUUUAAGAAUAGUAUUAUGAAUGAAAUUUAUUUAGUUUUAAGAGCUUAUUGUACUGUGGGGGAUGUGAGAUUAUUUAUGAGAAAUAUUAGGUUAUUUAUUACCUUUUGUAUUAGGGUUUAUUAAUGUUAUUAAAUAUUAAAUUUUUUCUCGAUUAAUAUCGGGCUAUUAUUCAUUAAUAUUAAGUUUAUUGCAUAAAACUGAUUAUUGGUUAAUAGUUAUGAAAUAUUAUUCAAGUUAUUUUAUAUCUAGUUUCCUGAGGAAGAUAAUUGCUGGUAUUUGUAUUAUUACUGUAAGUAGGGAUUAGCUUAUUUAUUUUUUAUAUAAUUGAGAGUAGAGUUUCAUUAAUGAAGUUGAAAGUUCUUAGUUAUAUGGUGUUAUUACUGAUUGUGAUUUGAUUUUUUAUUUUUUUAAUUUAUGUUAAGAUUAGGGGUAUUAGUAUAAUUUAGUUCUAGUGAUAUUAUGAUAAAAUUAGUAAUAUGUUUGUUGUAAAUGGGUUGGAUUAGGAUAUUUGAUUAUUUUUAGUGAAUUUAUUUAAAAUGAAGAAUUAGGCAAAUUAGCUCUUGACUGUUUAGCAAAAACAUUGUUUUUUGUUAAGAUAAGAAAUACGUUCUGCCCACUGCUAUUAGGUGAAGGGCUGCAGUAUUUUGACUGUAUGAAGGUAGCAUAAUCAUUAGCUUUUUAAUUGGGGGCUGGUAUGAAGGUGAAACAGGGGCUGACUAUUUUAUUUUAAUGUGAUGAAUUUUGUUUUUAUGUGAAAAACCAUGAUUGAAUUAAAGGGACAAGAAGACCCUAGUAAGUUUUAUUUUUUAAUUUGAUGCGGGUGUAGGAUUGAUAAUUUAUGCAAUUUAUUUUGAGGGGUUUGACUGGGGCGGUAUGUUGAAAACAUUAUUUAUUUUUUAACUUUUUUGAUGGCGUUUUUAGACCUAAUUGGUUUAGUUGAAUGGAAAAUUACUGUAGGGAUAACAGCGUAAUUUUUCUUAAGAGUUCUAAUUGACAGGAAA
rnacentral:rRNA from 1 species